UUUCAACACAAAGCGAAUUGAUGAUCAUCCAUCAAGCAUAUCCGUAAUAACAAAUCCAACAUCACUGAACAAACUUAUAUAAUAAUUUCUAAGGCUAAUGGAUGGAACACACCACUUAGUAAUAUUCAACCAAGUUUCACAGAUUACGGCCUCGUCGCAGGCGAAGGCGGCGAGGGGUGUUGAGUCCGGCGAGAAAGGUUAGCAGCUUGCGGCAAAGCUCGGUCUUUAAGCGAGAGGGAAGAGCGACGUUGGCGGCGAAGCUUGGUAUUUGGCGGCGUCUAACCGGCGUUUUGAGAGAGGUAAGUGUGGACUUCGGGUUUUAUCUCUGUCAUAUAUAUAUAUAUAUAUAUAUUAUUUGAUUAAAUUAAAUAUUUUUCAGUUGUGUGAAUUUAAAAUAUAUUUUAAUUUUAAAAUAAGAAAUAUUUUGAGUUCGGAUUCUUGAACCCAAACGUAAAAUAUAUUUGAGACUGUACUUAUCUCUAAAAUAAAUCGGCCCUCAACAUUAAAACUUUUUGGGUUCAUAUCGGUCCCGAAUUAAUCAAUUGUUAAAAAUAAUGGCGUUUGGAGGUAAGUUAAAGUUUUCAUACUUUUGAAGGUUAAAUUGACGUAUUUCAGUCAAAUAAGAGGGUCGGGUGAAAUUCACCCUAUUUUCUUUUGCCAUAUAUUUGAAGAUAAGAGUUUAAAGCAAUUAUUAAUAAAAUAAUUACUAUAUUCAACC
rnacentral:lncRNA from 1 species